ensembl:lncRNA
ACUUUGCUGGAGAUCUUUGCUUACCUGAAGUCUUCUAAAGAUACAAGCCAGCUUCACCUUCAGAGAGACAAUGGACACUACCCACAAAGUUGUCACGAUGUUACUGAACAUCACAGACAAAAGGAAGACAUAGAGCCAGCAGUGACUCCUAUAGGAAGAGCUUAAAAAACAAAACAAAAAAAACAGCAUUCCAACACAAGGUUUAUAAGAAGCAUCCAUCUAUUUAACAAAGAAAACACGUUGUGGAUUUUUAUUUUAUUUUAGAUACAAAGUAGUUUAUCAUCUCCUGAGAAGUACUAGGAUUAUAUUCAGUUUUGCUUCUCUUGCAUAAAAUUGCCCAGAAGCAGUUUGAGCAUUCACUGGAGAAGUUCUACCCACCAUGCCAAUGUCCUUGGCUCUCUCUCUGGAUACACCAGAGCAUUGCUCAAGUCAUGCUGACCUUUGCAGCAGGAUAAACAUAUGUACCUUGAUUUCAGCAAGGCGUUUGACAGUGUCUCCCACAACAUCUUUGUUAUGAAACUUAAAAAGUGCAGGAUAGAUGAAUAGAUGGUGAGCUGGAUUGACAACUAACUGACUGGAAGAGCUCAGAGUGUGGUCAGCAGUGGUGCAGUCUGGUUGGAGGCCUGUAACCAGCAGUGUUGCCCAGGGUUUGGUUCUGGGCCUGGUCUCAUUCAACAUCAUCAUCAACAACCUGGAUGAAGGGAUAGAGUCCACCCUCAGCAUGUUUGCUGAUGACACAAAGCUGGGAGGAUUGGCUGACACACCUGAAGGCUGUUCUACCAUUCAGCAAGACCUGGACAGACUGGAGAGUUGGACAAAGAGGAACCUGAUGAGGUUUAAUAAGAGCAAGUGUAGAGUCUUGCACCUGGGGAGGAAUAACCACAUGCAUCAGUACAGGUUAGGUACCUGCUGAGGAGGAGCUCUGCAGAGAAGAACCUGGGAUUUGUGGUGGACAACAGGAUGGCCAUGAGCCAGCAGCGUACCCUUGUAGCCAAGAAGGCCACUGAUAUCCUGGAAUGGAUUAAAAAGAUCCUGGCCAGCAAGUCAAGGGAGGUCAUCCUCCCCCUCUACUCUGCCCUGGUGAGGCCACAUUUAUAAUGCUGUGUCCAGUUCUGGGAUCCCCAGUUCAAAAGAGACAGGAGUCUCCUAGAAGGAGUCCAGAGAAGGGCCACAAAGAUGAUAAAGGGACUGAAGCAUCUGCCAUAUGAGGAAAGUAACCUGGCUCUGUUAAGCCUGGGGAAAAGAAGAAUGAAAGAGGAUCUGACAAAUGUUCAUAAAUAUCUGAAGGGGGGUAGGAGGCAAAUGGAUGAGGCCAGGCUCUUCUCUGUGGUGUAUAGAAAGAGGACAAGGAGUACUGGCCUAAAACCUGAACAUAGGAAGUUCCAUAAUAACAUAUAAAAUAAUUUCUUUACAGUAAGAGUGACAGAAAACUGGAACAGGCUGCUCAGAGAGGUCGUGGAGUCUCCUUUUAUGGACAUAUUUGAGACUCAUCUGGAUGAGUACCUGUGCGAUAUAUUGUAGGGUACCUGCUUUAGCAGAAGGGUUGGACUCUAUGAUCUCUUGAGGUCCCUUCCAACCCCUGCAAUUCUGUGUGAUUCUUUGAUGAAUAGCAAGGGAAAAGGGAUGCUCUGAGCAUCCCCUGAGCAUUACCAGAACUGGCUGCUGACAAGGGCAGGCGGGCAGGAGCGCCUAUCAGAGCAUGUCCACAGGUGAUUUCUGAUUUGCACAGUCUCUCCUAGGAGAGUUCAUACAUGGACUUGAGAAAAAAAAAAAAAGGGACUUUCCCCACCUGGUUUCAAGCUAAUGAAUGACACAUGUGAGAGUGCAUUCAAACAAACAGGCAAAGGUUUCCUGAUUAAAUAAUGAGCUAUUGCCUGCAUCAGGAAAAAAAAAAAAGCACAAAUACAAAAACACGAAGGGCUAACCUGAGUAGAGGAAAGCAAUCCUAGUAAAGACUAAGAGUCUCUCCAGAGUACAAGCUGUGUGUAGCAAGCUGAGCCUACACCACCAGCACAACUGGCACCAGCCAAGGCCAUUAGUUACUAAAAUGUGUUGAAUUUGGCUCCUGGAGUUCUUUUUUUUUUUUUUUUUUAAAUGUAUUCUACCAAGUAGCAAUGAAAAGUAAAGGGGUGGAACAAGUUUGUAUAGUGAUGGCAUUAGUUUUUUAUCUCUUGCUUCAAACAAAAGAUGCACACCCAGCUAUCAAAAUAAAGUGAACAUUGUUUAAUGCUCUUCCCCUGACUUUCCCUCACCUUUACCUUGCCUAGGUGCACAGAUCUGAGCCAACAGGAUGUAAAAUGUUACCCAACCAGAACUACCCCCAAUGCAGAUAUUUGAUUCUCAUAUUACUACUUCUCGUUUCUGAAGUCCUUUUUAUAAGUGUCCAUUUUACCCUACUCCUCUUUGUAACUUUUAAGCCGUUUACUGUAUCAUAACGAACUCUCGCCGAAGACACAGUGUUAGACAGGAAAAGUCAUUUUUCCAGAACAGCUUUCUUUCCUCUCUUUCUAAGAACAGCAGGAAACGAUGGGUCCCCAAGCAGGUGAUCUGCAGAAAUGCUGCACAAAACUGGGAACUUUGUGAGCAAAAAUAACUGCAGCUGCUGCAAUAGUAUCAGCAGCAUUGCUUGCAGCGUUCUUGCAAAGGACAUAGUUAUAAUAUUGAUAUGUGAUUCGACACUGCUAUUUUAAUGUUGCCCAACUGGAAAUAUGUCAAUAUAACUAUUAACUGUAAGCAUUCCAAACUUUUAGAUAUUGCAGGCUGGGAAAGCAAGCACUUCCCCCACCACAACCCCCUCAGUCCUUCCAUUUCCUAUUCCUGCAAUGCAAUAAAAAUGCCUACAAAAGUUUUGGAAAGCUUCCUAUCUUUUCUCCUGCUUGGGGAGAAAAGUAAAUGCUCCUCAGAUUCCUUACAACAGAGAGAGGUUUAGAAUAGUUUCUAAACCAUUUUAUGGCAUCUUAAAAUAUUCUCUUUUAUCUUUUAUAUUUUUCUUACAGUGUUCGUAGAUUAUGGGCUGAGUUUAAAAAACCCUUGGGUGCUAGUUUUGGAGUUGAGAGUAUGCAUAUGGUGCACACAUUUCCAACUAAGUGAUGACUUCCAUGAGACGUAGUACUAUAUGUGGGUGGGAUGCUGGCAAGUAACAGAUUUUAAUGUACAAUUCAAAUAAGGGCAUGAAAAAUCCAAGUUUUGCAAUAAAAGAAACAUGUUGAAAU